GUUUAGCAUAACGGAAAUGCAACAGAUUUCUAAUCUGUCGACUGUAGGUUCGAAUCCUACAA
rnacentral:tRNA from 1 species